rnacentral:rRNA from 1 species
UGAAUACGAGACGCUAAGGCGUAGAAGUAGUGUAUGUCAUACUUCCAAGAAAAGCUUGCACUGUCAUAAGUAAAAAAUGCCUGUACCAUAACCGACACAGGUGGGUAGGUAGAGUAUACUAAGGGGCGCGAGAUAACUCUCUCUAAGGAACUCGGCAAAAUAACUCCGUAACUUCGGGAGAAGGAGUACCUUAUUCUAUAAGGUUGCAAUAACAAGAUCCAAGCAACUGUUUAUCAAAAACACAGGUCUCCGCUAAGUCGUAAGACGAUGUAUGGGGGCUGACGCCUGCCCAGUGCCAGAAGGUUAAAGAAGUCGGUUAGCAUUAGCGAAGCUGGUAACUGAAGCCCUGGUGAACGGCGGCCGUAACAAUAACGGUCCUAAGGUAGCGAAAUUCCUUGUCGGGUAAGUUCCGACCCGCACGAAAGGCGUAAUGAUUAGGAUACUGUCUCGGAGAGGGGCUCGGUGAAAUAGACUUGUCUGUGAAGAUGCGGACUGCCUGCACCAGGACAGAAAGACCCUAUGAAGCUUUACUGUAACUUGAAAUUGAAAUUGGACUUUAUUCGCGCAGUAUAGGUGGGAGGUGUUGAUUAUAAUCUUGCGGGAUUAUUGGAGCCAUCAGUGAGAUACCACUCUUGUAAUGUUAGAUUUCUAACUUUGAAUCAUUAUCUGGUCAAAGGACAGUUUCAGGCGGGCAGUUUGACUGGGGCGGUCGCCUCCCAAACGGUAACGGAGGCGUACAAAGGUUUCCUCUGAACGGGUAGAAAUCGUAUCUAGAGUGUAAAGGCAUAAGGAAGCUUGACUGUGAGACCUACAAGUCGAACAGGGACGAAAGUCGGUCUUAGUGAUCUGACGGUACUGAGUGGAAAGGCCGUCACUCAACGGAUAAAAGUUACUCUAGGAUAACAGGCUGAUCUCCCCCAAGAGUUCACAUCGACGGGGAGGUUUGGCACCUCGAUGUCGGCUCAUCGCAUCCUGGGGCGGUAGUACGUCCCAAGGGUUGGGCUGUUCGCCCAUGAGAGCGGUACGCGAGCUGGGUUCAGAACGUCGUGAGACAGUUCGGUCCAUAUCCGGUGUAGGCGUUAGAAUAUUGAGAGGAGCCUUCUUUAGUACGAGAGGACCGAGAAGGACAUACCUCCGGUGUACCAGUUAUCGUGCCAACGGUAAACGCUGGGUAGCUAUGUAUGGAGUGGAUAACCGCUGAAAGCAUCUAAGUGGGAAGCCCACCUCAAGAUAAGUAUUCC